AUGCGGGCGGCCCCCGCCUGGCUGGGGACCCUGCGGGGACCCAGCUGGGGCCCCUGUGACGCCCUGCGGGGACGAGACCCACGGGGUAUCGGUGUGGGCAGCAGCUGGCAGGCCGUGCCGUGCCAUCCCCUGCUGUGCCGUGCCCUUCCGAGCUGUGCCGUGCCGUCCUGGGGGCCACGAAGCCACCCUGAGCUGUGCUGUGCCGAGCGGUGCCACGCUGUGGAUCUGUGUGCGCCCAGCGUGGGGGUGGCAGAGCGGUGCCACCCCCUGUCCCCCUGCCCGGACAGGGCCCCGGCACAGCCCGUGUGCCCCGGCAGCAGCGGGGCCACCCCGCUCCCGGCAGAGCCGCGUCCUUGGCGGGGGCCCAGCAGCUGCACGGAGGGGAGGGGAGCGCAGAGAAAGGCAGCGCUUGUUCCCAGGGCCGGCCGGCGUGGAGGAAGCGGGUGGGUGGGAAGGAAGGCAGUGCCGGCCCGGCCAGGCCUUCCCCGGGGGACGGGGACGGGCGCCGGGGUGGAUCCCCGACCCCUUCCCCUGCGCCUCCCCGGCACGGCAGCAGCGAUGCUCGAGCGGCAGCACCGGGACGUGCCAGCGGCACGGGGGGCUUGGAGAGCCACGGGGCCCAUCCUGACCCAGGUAGGGCUGCAGGAAUGGGGCUGGGGCUGGGGCUGGCCCCCCCCACGGAGCUGUCUCUCCCACCCCCUGCACCCCUCCGAGGGACCCCAGACCCUCGCCAGCGCCUGGCUCGGUGCCACACACGCACUGGGGCAGGAGGAGGGGGCGUCGGGUCGUGCGGGGAGGGCAUGGCCCCAACACCCAGCCCUGCUCGUGCCGGCACGUCCCGGCAGGCCCUCGUGCAAGGGAGGCCGUCGUGCAGGGGGACGUGUGACACGGCGGGGCCCUCCUGCCCUCCCUGCCUUCCUGGCAUUGUCCGCCAGCCCCACACGGCCCGCGGAGCCCCUGCCCGUGGCGGGUGCCACGCUGGCUGGUGGGGGCCGGGGGCGGCGGGCGUGCGGUGACGGUGACGCCAGCUUCCUGACGCGGAGGCGGGCAGGGGGCGGCCGUGCCCGCGGGAAGGGCUGCGGGAAGGGCUGCAGCACGGCCGGGAAGGGGCUGCCAAGGGAGGAGCUGGAGCGGGGCCAGGGCUCCGGCACGGCGCUGGAGGCGCGGGGAGCGGGGAGGCCGUGGCCGUGUGGGGAGGGGGGCGGCCGGAUCCCGUCCGGGGCGCAGCGGGGCCGUGCCGAGCGCCCCGUGGCCGUGCCGCCCUCCAGCCCGUGCCGCCGCCUAAUCCAAACCACAUUGGUCGGCGCUUCCCGUUUCCUCCCUGGGAAGCGCACGCAGCCCCUUGCAUUGUUUUCGGCACGGCAGCCAGGAUGCGGCCCCGAGCGGGAGGCGAGAGCAGGACAGGGGGGCUGCGGACCCCCGGGGAGGGCAGCAGCCACCACGGCCGUGCAGGGAGCAGCAGCUGCCUUGGCUCCUGCUGCAGGCCCUGCCACAAGGACGUGGGCCCUCAGCCCGUUCCCGUGCCCCCCCUCACUCCUCCCUCUGCCUUCAGCGCCUUACAGUGAGCUCCGGGGCACAGGGGCGCGGUGCAGCUCCCAAACCCUGCUUUGA
rnacentral:lncRNA from 1 species